GAAGCCGAUGAAGGACGUUACUAACGACGAUAUGCUUUGGGGAGCUGUAAGUAAGCUUUGAUCCAGAGAUUUCCGAAUGGGGAAACCCAGCAUGAGUUAUGUCAUGUUAUCGAUAUGUGAAUACAUAGCAUAUCAGAAGGCACACCCGGAGAACUGAAACAUCUUAGUACCCGGAGGAAGAGAAAGAAAAUUCGAUUCCCUUAGUAGCGGCGAGCGAAACGGGAAGAGCCCAAACCAACAAGCUUGCUUGUUGGGGUUGUAGGACACUCUAUACGGAGUUACAAAGGACGACAUUAGACGAAUCAUCUG
rnacentral:rRNA from 1 species